rnacentral:rRNA from 1 species
AUUGAACGCUGGCGGCAGGCCUAACACAUGCAAGUCGAGCGGAUGAAGGGAGCUUGCUCCUGGAUUCAGCGGCGGACGGGUGAGUAAUGCCUAGGAAUCUGCCUGGUAGUGGGGGAUAACGUCCGGAAACGGGCGCUAAUACCGCAUACGUCCUGAGGGAGAAAGUGGGGGAUCUUCGGACCUCACGCUAUCAGAUGAGCCUAGGUCGGAUUAGCUAGUUGGUGGGGUAAAGGCCUACCAAGGCGACGAUCCGUAAUUGGUCUGAGAGGAUGAUCAGUCACACUGGAACUGAGACACGGUCCAGACUCCUACGGGAGGCAGCAGUGGGGAAUAUUGGACAAUGGGCGAAAGCCUGAUCCAGCCAUGCCGCGUGUGUGAAGAAGGUCUUCGGAUUGUAAAGCACUUUAAGUUGGGAGGAAGGGCAGUAAGUUAAUACCUUGCUGUUUUGACGUUACCAACAGAAUAAGCACCGGCUAACUUCGUA